rnacentral:rRNA from 1 species
AAUCCGGAUAAUCAAGGCUGAGGUGUGAUGACGAGGCACUACGGCGCUGAAGUAACAAAUGCCCUGCUUCCAGGAAAAGCCUCUAAGCAUCAGGUAACAUUAAAUCGUACCCCAAACCGACACAGGUGGUCAGGUAGAGAAUACCAAGGCGCUUGAGAGAACUCGGGUGAAGGAACUAGGCAAAAUGGUGCCGUAACUUCGGGAGAAGGCACGCUGGUGUGUAGGUGA